rnacentral:siRNA from 1 species
CGACAAGUUUAAUAGCCCAUGGUC